GACCAGUCAGCAUCCAGCUCUCUCAGAAACACCACUGCUCUCCAGGAGGAAGAAACCUGCUCCGUAUCAACAUGAAGACUCUGCUGCUGGCCUCUGCUCUCUUUGCAGGACUCUUUGUCUCUCUGGCUGCCGUCCCUGUUCCUAUUCCUGCUCCUUAUCAUGCCUUCUGCAAAACAAUGUGGCUCUUUGCAGGACCUUGUACUGAUAUCAAGACCAUGUUAGUCACACAGAUUCUAGCCUCCAGCCUGAGUAUACGCUUGUGUCAGUCUUCCCUGGUUUUGUCAAAGCCAACCACACGUCCCCGAAGACCCCCGAAGGAGAGACCAUCAUCAUCUCAUUUUACCCCACCAUAGUGACUGGAGGCUGUCGCAUGAGUGCACUGUCCAAAUCUAAUGGAUUCACCAGUCUUUUCGAUGGUGAACAGAACUACUGCAACCUCUACAAUCUGGUGUCAGCGAGCGGCCUCAUGAAAGAACCAGGCUUCAUGCAGAUAAUCAAUGAAUGGGCUUGCAUGAGCUACAGACUUGCCACCUGUAGCUAAGCUUGCUUCACCAAAUCAUGUUGGGAUUUGAUAUAUUUGAUUUGGAAAUGGUUUUUUUUCACCUUACUUAUGCAUGCACCCUUAAGAAAAAAGACCAAUAAAAUAUAUUGCAACUGA